rnacentral:lncRNA from 1 species
GAUUUUCUGAAUGGAGCGUGGUAGCAUGUUAUAGAGUCCAAGGAAUUUGCCAAAUCCGUGUGAGAAGAUUUGCCUCUCACAUGUGAGAGAAUUUUUUGAGAAAAAAAAGAUCCUGACCCCGUCCCUCUGCCACCACCCGAGUGAGGAAGACUGACAGAGCACAUUGGCUUGCUGUGGAGACAAGAUCAGGGAAAGCGCCCCUGAAAAGAAAGCAUUUUGGAAGUCCUGAAGGUGGAGAAGGAGAUUUAGAGGAAGAGUGAUAAAUCAGAAGUCUUCGUCCAAGAAUUAGCUUUGCACCAUCUACAGACCUAAGCAGCUGCAGUCCUGGAACUGUGUGAUAACUUGCCCAGAAAAUCUUCUUGUGGAAUCUGUCUUUACAUGGAAAAGACUUGGCAAUAUUUGUACAGCAACUGGAAGAAAGGUCUUUGCUGAGAUAUACAAAGAGGCAGAAUGUGUGUGGAUCACCG